ensembl:lncRNA
CUAAAUUUCUCACUCUUUUCAGAUCUAUCUACGCCAUGGCUCCUGUUGGAACACAUGACCCUCCUGUAGCAACAAAAUAUGAGAAAGGACAGAGGAAUGCAGGAGCGAGAGGCCAGUCAGGAGAGGACAGCUGCAUGUGUUUAAGCAUGGAAAAGGCAUGUCAUGUUGAAUAGCCUGGGACCAAAGACAGGCCCUGGGAGAAGAGACAGCAGUCUGCGCUGAAACUGAACCCUGCAUACCACACAUGCUUCAGGGGUACAAUAGCUCUCUUUACAGCAUGCAGUAAAAAUUGCCUGGAAGUGAUGCAGUGGAACAGCAGCUGAACAUUCUUGUUCUUCUCAAACUUGUUGGAUCACUUUGGUCCAAAUACUUUUGUUUGGGGAAGCUUCAUUUUAAAUAUUUAAAUACUAACCCUAAAUUGUUUUUCAUUGAAUCUUCUAUUCAAAAUGAAGUGUGUAACAUAUGGUUCUCACACUUGCUGACCAAAG